rnacentral:tRNA from 1 species
GAGGGUGUAGCUCAGGGGUAGAGUGCAUGCUUAGCACGCAUGAGGUCCUGGGUUCAAUCCCCAGCACCUCCA